AGCAUCCUCCCGAGCAUCCUCCCGAGCGGACGAGCCGCCAUAGCGGCGAGGCGGCACCGGGAAAGAUUCCGGCCGUGUGUAAUCCCUGCGUUCCACCUAAAGAAUCAGACCUCAUAAAAGCUAUGAGUAAAGCACCCGCUUAAAUGCCGAUGCAGCAUUUGCAGUUACAGGAGAAGGAGUGCAUGAGAGGCUGUGUGGGGCUGAUGGCUGAUGAUAAACCACAACAGGAUGAGAAAACACAAGAGAUGAGUAUCAGACACAGUAAAACAAUCUAAGGAUGUAUCCUGGAAACAGUAAGACAAAGCAACAAAGAAAUGGAGAACAGCCAGACUGCAAGGUGUGGGAGCAGCAGGAACUGAGGUCUCUGGUUGGGUGAUUAGCUCAACCUUUCUUGCAACAAAAGAAUGAAGUGACUUUGGAGCAGUUUCUGCUUCACAAGAACUUGGCACCAUGUUUUUACAGCAAACUUGCACAACACUGGCACCACAAAAAGGAAAGAUGUUACCCUCUAUGGAACCUGGGGGGAGUUUUGUUACUUUUAUGCAGCAUGGAUGAGGGAGUGAAAACCAUCAGUGAACAGCUCUUGCUGAAGAGCUUUUUUUGUCUCUUAUUCUAAAAUAAGCAAAGAGAUCCCGUGGAGCCCAAGCAUUUGGUCUGCUGGAAGACAGGGUCUGCUCUGCUCACUUGCAAGGAAGGCAUCAAGCCUGACUCCUUCUGUGUGACUGAUCUGCCCAGUGAACUAUUAUGUAAAAGGAAAUACGAGCCCUUCCCCAUCUGCUCCUUAAAUGAAGGAACAAAACACCUGAGAGAGAUGAGUUUGAACAGUGAUUUGUUU